rnacentral:rRNA from 1 species
AUGGAAGUUACGUUCUGGGCUCCGGCCACACGUAGUCCACAGUUCACACUUCACAGCUACCAGGGCUUUUCAAUUUUCCUGGAACAGGAGCCUGUUGGGGGGCCAUCCUACCCGAGCCCUUGCUACCCCCGAUUGGAGAAACGAAUUAUUCUGCUCGGUUGGCUGAUGGCUACUAGCCUACUAGCCACACUAGUACUCCUUGGUUCAUUCUAUCGUUGGCCAAAGAAAGAGCUCAUCUCUCCCCAGCACACACACGCUUCUCCGUCUCCAAAAACCCUCCUCUCUGCACGGGCACGCCAUGGACAGUCCUCCGGCCGGCAACGUGGCCCAUCCUCUGGCAGCGGCGGCGGCGGCGGGCAACAAUGUGGCCAACCCUCCGGCGGCGGCGGCGACAGCAGCAGCAAACAACGUGGCCAACCCUCCUCCGGCGGCGGCGGCAGCUGCAAACAUCGCGGCCAAUCCUCCGGCGGCGGCAGCAGCAAACAACGUGCUCGAUCAUCUGGCGGCGAUGGAGGCAGCAGCAGCAAACAACGUGGCCAAUUUUCAGGCGCAGCAAGCAGCAGCGGCAGCAGCGGCGGCGGCGGCGGCGGAUGCUGCUGCAGUGGCUGCCGCUGCAGCGCUGGAGCGGCGCCGCAAGGAAGACAAGGAUUGUGCGUGCUUGUGCUGUGUGUACAUCUUCGGCGUGCUGCUCUUCUUUGCUGUCAUGAUUCUGCUGACGUCCAAGCCAUGGAAUCGAGGCUAGAGAGCAUCAACGUACCAGGAUGA